CAACUGUGCUCUAAUUCGGCCGAAUUCCAAGCUCAGUCACCAGGGGAAGCCGGUCGAAAUCCGGCGCUGACCCGCAACCGUAGGUUCGCCGAGCACGUCAAGUGCCCGGCGGGCGAGCCGGAUCACCUGGCCUGAGGACAGACGAUUG
rfam:Streptomyces silvensis strain ATCC 53525 53525_Assembly_Contig_54, whole genome shotgun sequence.